UGGGGAAUUUUGCACAAUGGGGGAAACCCUGAUGCAGCGACGCCGCGUGAUUUAGAAGGCCUUCGGGUUGUAAAAAUCUUUUUUAUGGGAUGAAAAUGACAGUACCAUAAGAAUAAGGUCCGGCUAAAUACGUGCCAGCAGCCGCGGUAAUACGUAGGGGGCGAGCGUUAUCCGGAUUCAUUGGGCGUAAAGCGCGCGCAGGCGGCUCUUCAAGCGGAACCUCUAACCCCGGGGCUCAACCUCGGGCCGGGUUCCGAACUGGAGGGCUCGAGUGCGGUAGAGGCAGGCGGAAUUCCCGGUGUAGCGGUGGAAUGCGCAGAUAUCGGGAAGAAAACCGAUGGCGAAGGCAGCCUGCUGGGGCGGCACUGACGCUGAGGCGCGAAAGCUAGAGGGGCGAACAGG
rnacentral:rRNA from 1 species